AGAGGGUCCAGGCUGGUCUGUGUGUAUCUGCGAGAAGGGUGGGAGGCACCAGGAUUGGUUUUUCUCUGGCUACUUAAGGGUUAAUUCCUGCCGGGCCUCCCAGUGUCCCUCCACGUCCCCUCUUGAACUUUCCCCUCUCCGGGCUUUGACCAGAACACCCUAAACCGCCUUACACUCUGCACCGCUCACAUGGCUUGUCUGAGCCCCCCACAGCUCCAGAAGUUCCAGGAAGAUGGAUUCCUGGUGCUGGAAGGGUUCCUGUCUGCAGAUGAGUGUGCAGCCAUGCGACAGAGGAUUGGCGAGAUAGUGGCUGAGAUGAAUGUCCCUGCUCACUGCCGCACGGAAUUUUCUACCCAGGAGGAGGAGCAGAUACGAGCCCAGGGCAGCACAGACUACUUCCUCAGUAGUGGAGACAAGAUUCGGUUCUUCUUUGAGAAAGGCGUUUUUGACCAGAAAGUUCCCUGUGCCACAGGAAAUUUCCUGGUGUCUCCAGAGAAAUCCAUCAACAAAAUUGGCCAUGCUCUGCACGCCCAUGACCCUGUCUUCAAGUGUAUCACACACUCCCCCAAGAUGCAGGGCCUGGUCAGAAGCCUGGGCUUCCAGAUACCUGUGGUGGUUCAGAGCAUGUACAUCUUUAAGCAGCCUCAUUUUGGUGGUGAAGUCUCCCCUCACCAAGAUGCCUCCUUCCUAUACACGGAGCCUCUGGGCCGGCUGCUGGGUGUGUGGCUUGCAUUGGAGGAUGCCACGAACCAGAAUGGCUGCCUCUGGUUCAUCCCUGGAUCCCAUACUGGUGGUGUGUCCAGAAGGAUGGUCCGGAACCCUGCUGGCUCAGUGCCAGGCACUAGCUUUCUGGGGUCAGAGCCAAUCCGGGAUAACAGCCUCUUUGUGCCUGCACCGGUGCCAAGAGAGAGAGAGAAAGCAUAUGUCCCCAUCAGGGUCACUGGUCCUAAUCCAUGGAGAAGUGGUUCAUAAGAGCGAGCAGAACCUCUCUGACCACUCACGCCAGGCGUACACUUUCCACAUCAUGGAGGCAGCUGGCACCACCUGGAGCCCAGAUAACUGGCUGCAGCCAACAGCCGAGCUGCCCUUCCCACCACUGUACACCUAAAGGCCCUGGCUUCACCUGAUAGCCCAGCUACAACAGCAAGUUGCAUCUCUCUCUUGAGCUUUCCUCCUGCUGGGGUCUGUGCCCCAGGACCCUGCAGACAGGCAGCAGGAGCCUGGAGAGUGAUUUCCCAAGGCUUCUGUCUCCACACAGUCCCCAUGCAACUUCCUCCUGGAGGCAGCCUCUCAGCAGUGAAGGAGUUCCAGAGUCCAGGAAUCUGACCAACUUCUGACUUUUCUCUUAUUAUGGUGCAAGAUGAAUAAAAACAACUUCUGAAAGCA